rnacentral:lncRNA from 1 species
GGUAGAGCCUGGCGGGAGGUGAUUUGAUGAUGGGGCGGAUUUCUCAUGAAUAGUUUGGCACCAUCCCCUCGAUACUGUCCUCACCAGAGCGAGUCCGUUUGUGAGAUCUGCUUGUUUAAAAGGGUGUAGCACCUACCCCUCCAUCUCUUGCUCCUGCUCUGGGCCUGUGCCUGCUUCCCCUUUGCCUUCUAACAUGAUUCUGAGCUUCCUGAGGCCACUCCAGAAGCCGAGCAGAUGCCAGCAUCACGUUUCCUGUACAGCCUGCAGAACCGUGAGCCAAUUAAACCUCUUUUCUUUACAAAUUACCCAGUCUCAGGUAUUUCUUUAUAACAAUGCAAGAAUGGCCUAACACAGGUGUCCAGGGGCAGAGGGAGGCUGAGUGUCAGGUGAAUGGAUGUCCUGACUCAUAGAAGGAAAGAUCAGGAAUAGGAAGAAAAGCUUUCCCACAAAACUGCCACUUACCCCAGAACAACUCACCCAGCAUAGUCAGGUGUUAGGUCUUUACUGAAGGUUUGGAAGGACAGAGGGUGGGCUCACACUGCUUGACACUGAUGGCUUAACCUUGAGUAUUAGCCAUUGGCCUCCUUGUCUUGGAAGUCCUUUGGCCCUGCCACCAAGAACUGUUCCCUGGCUGCCUCCUUCCCAGCUGCAGCUUCCUCUGGUGUUGCUAGAGCCUUCCCUCCUGGAAGGUGCUUCUCCUGAAUUCCUCUUAUAAUGCAGAGAAUUUUGACUCUUCGUCCCUCUGUUGGACAUCUAAGUAACAUUAAAGGGCUCAGCUUCACACACGAUCACAUAUCUAUUUCGGCAUCUUGGAAGAGCGAGCAGGGAUGUUGACAUUUCAGGGUUUCCAUUCUCUCUGCUUUAUCUGUGUAGGCGGAAGGGAACACUUCAGGUAUUUAUCUUCCCAGUGCGAUGACUGAUGCCCGCUAGAAGGCAGAAGUGACACCAUCAGUUUGGGUGUUCAGGAGCAUUCUUUUAAUUUAUUGUAGGGUCCUGCCUACCAUAAUCCAGGAGGUGGUCUUCCAGACAUUAAAUAGGAUCAUGAAAUCAAUGGCGUGAGCCUUCACAAAAUGGCUCCCAAAACCCAGUUGUGUCUCUGGGUGUGUAAGCCCAGCAGCAGGCAGUGUGUCAUCGCUGUGUCAGUUCUAUGGUGUGAUGUGCGGAACUGGUACUGGAAUGUAGACAUCAAGGCUGGUUCUUCGGCUCUCCCAAAGGCCAAAGAUAUCUAUUUAAAUAUCAUUUAAAUAAACCCCUUUAUUGCUUAAAUCAUCUAUAAUUUGUUUCUGUUGCAUAUAAAUAAGCAUUUGAUGAAUCCGUUGGGCACCAUUUAAAGAAGUGGGUCUUAGCCCUGGCUGCACAUCAGAAUCAAAUUCCAAGGGAGUGGAGGGGACCAGGGGUUGAAAUGUACUGAUGCCCAAUCCCAGACAGAUUGACAGCAUCUCCAAGGCAUUGGUAGUAUUUAAAAUUUCCAAAGAUGAUUCUUUUUUUUUUUUUUUAAUUCAGUCAGGGUUGAGAACCGCCAGAUGAGUUUGGUUUCCUGGUGGUCCCAAU